UACGUGAGGGGCAAGCGUUGUCCGGAAUCAUUGGGCGUAAAGCGCGUGUAGGCGGCCAGAAAAGUCCGCUGUGAAAACUCGAGGCUCAACUUCGAGCUGUCGGUGGAAACUUUCUGGCUAGAGUCCGGAAGAGGAGAAUGGAAUUCCUGGUGUAGCGGUGAAAUGCGCAGAUAUCAGGAAGAACACCUAUGGCGAAGGCAGCACUCUGGGACGGUACUGACGCUGAGACGCGAAAGCGUGGGGAGCGAACAGG
rnacentral:rRNA from 1 species